UACGUAGGGCGCAAGCGUUAUCCGGAAUUAUUGGGCGUAAAGAGCUCGUAGGCGGCUUGUUGCGUCGACUGUGAAAACCCGCGGCUUAACCGCGGGCUUGCAGUUGAUACGGGCAGGCUAGAGUUCGGUAGGGGAGACUGGAAUUCCUGGUGUAGCGGUGAAAUGCGCAGAUAUCAGGAGGAACACCGAUGGCGAAGGCAGGUCUCUGGGCCACUACUGACGCUGAGAAGCGAAAGCAUGGGGAGCGAACAGG
rnacentral:rRNA from 1 species